GAUGAACGCUGGCGGCGUGCUUAACACAUGCAAGUCGAACGAGAAGUGGAGACGGAAACCUUCGGGCGGAAGACUUUAUUUCGAGUGGCGGACGGGUGAGUAACGCGUGGGUAACCUGCCUCAUACAGGGGGAUAACAGUUGGAAACGACUGUUAAUACCGCAUAAGACCACAGCACCGCAUGGUGCGGGGGUAAAAACUCCGGUGGUAUGAGAUGGACCCGCGUUCGAUUAGCCAGUUGGCGGGGUAACGGCCCACCAAAGCGACGAUCGAUAGCCGAUCUGAGAGGAUGACCGGCCACAUUGGGACUGAGACACGGCCCAAACUCCUACGGGAGGCAGCAGUGGGGAAUAUUGCACAAUGGGGGAAACCCUGAUGCAGCGACGCCGCGUGAGUGAAGAAGUAUUUCGGUAUGUAAAGCCCUAUCAGCAGGGAAGAAAAUGACGGUACCUGAGUAAGAAGCCCCGGCUAACUACGU
rnacentral:rRNA from 1 species